GACGAACGCUGGCGGCGUGCUUAACACAUGCAAGUCGAACGAUGAAGCUGGAGCUUGCUCCGGUGGAUUAGUGGCGAACGGGUGAGUAACACGUGAGAAAUCUGCCCUUGACUCUGGGAUAACUGCGGGAAACUGUAGCUAAUACCGGAUACUUUCCCUGGUGGGCAUCCACUGGGGAAGAAAGAAUUUCGGUCAAGGAUGGUCUCGCGGCCUAUCAGCUUGUUGGUGAGGUAAUGGCUCACCAAGGCGACGACGGGUAGCCGGCCUGAGAGGGUGACCGGCCACACUGGGACUGAGACACGGCCCAGACUCCUACGGGAGGCAGCAGUGGGGAAUAUUGCACAAUGGGCGCAAGCCUGAUGCAGCAACGCCGCGUGAGGGAUGAAGGCCUUCGGGUUGUAAACCUCUUUUAGCAGGGAAGAAGCGAAAGUGACGGUACCUGCAGAAAAAGCACCGGCUAACUACGUGCCAGCAGCCGCUGUAA
rnacentral:rRNA from 1 species